rnacentral:rRNA from 1 species
CGGGGGGCAGCAGUAGGGAAUAUUGGGCAAUGGAGGCAACUCUGACCCAGCCAUCCCGCGUGCAGGAUGAAGGCCCUCUGGGUCGUAAACUGCUUUUGUCUGGGAAGAAAAAGCUAUAUUUAUAUAGAACUGACGGUACCAGACGAAUAAGCACCGGCUAACUCCGUGCCAGCAGCCGCGGUAAUACGGAGGGUGCAAGCGUUAUCCGGAUUCACUGGGUUUAAAGGGUGCGUAGGCGGCUAUUUAAGUCAGUGGUGAAAGCUCGCAGCUUAACUGUGAAACUGCCAUUGAAACUGAGUAGCUUGAGUACGAUUGAUGUGGGCGGAAUAUAUCAUGUAGCGGUGAAAUGCUUAGAUAUGAUAUAGAACACCGAUUGCGAAGGCAGCUCACAAAAUCGCAACUGACGCUGAGGCACGAAAGCGUGGGGAGCAAACAGGAUUAGAUACCCGGGU